rnacentral:rRNA from 1 species
AUUGAACGCUGGCGGCAGGCCUAACACAUGCAAGUCGAACGAGUGGCGGACGGGUGAGUAAUGUCUGGGAAACUGCCUGAUGGAGGGGGCUAACUACUGGAAACGGUAGCUAAUACCGCAUAACAUCAGAUGUGCCCAGAUGGGAUUAGCUUGUAGGUGGGGUAAAGGCUCACCAAGGCGAAGAGCCCUAGCUGGUCUGAGAGGAUGAAACGCUACACUGGAAGUGAGACACGGUCCAGACUCCUACGGGAGGCAGCAGUGGGGAAUAUUGCACAAUGGGCUCAAGCCUGACGCAGCCAUGCCGCGUGUAUGAAGAAGGCCUUCGGGUUGUAAAGUACUUUCAGCCGGGAGGCGUUACCCGCAGAAGAAGCACCGGCUAACUCCGUGCCAGCAGCCGCGGUAAUAC